rnacentral:rRNA from 1 species
UAGGGAAUAUUGGACAAUGGGUGAGAGCCUGAUCCAGCCAUGCCGCGUGCAGGAAGAAGGCGUUAUGCGUUGUAAACUGCUUUUGCCAGGGGAUAAAAAGACCGUGCGCGGUUAAUUGAAGGUACCUGGUGAAUAAGCCACGGCUAACUACGUGCCAGCAGCCGCGGUAAUACGUAGGUGGCAAGCGUUGUCCGGAUUUAUUGGGUUUAAAGGGUGCGUAGGUGGCCCUGUAGGUCAGUGGUGAAAUAUCUCAGCUUAACUGAGAGGGUGCCAUUGAUACUGCAGGGCUUGAGUACAGAUGAGGUAGGCGGAAUUGACGGUGUAGCGGUGAAAUGCAUAGAUAUCGUCAAGAACACCGAUAGCGAAGGCAGCUUACCAAGCUGUAACUGACACUGAGGCACGAAAGUGUGGGGAUCAAACAGGAUUAGAUACCCACGUAGUCCCUGAGCGGGCUGGCAAGGCGCAU